GAUGAACGCUGGCGGCGUGCUUAACACAUGCAAGUCGAACGAUGAAGCCCAGCUUGCUGGGUGGGUUAGUGGCGAACGGGUGAGUAACACGUGAGUAACCUGCCCUUAACUCUGGGAUAAGCCUUGGAAACUGGGUCUAAUACCGGAUAGGAGCGUCCACCGCAUGGUGGGUGUUGGAAAGAUUUAUCGGUUUUGGAUGGACUCGCGGCCUAUCAGCUUGUUGGUGAGGUAAUGGCUCACCAAGGCGACGACGGGUAGCCGGCCUGAGAGGGUGACCGGCCACACUGGGACUGAGACACGGCCCAGACUCCUACGGGAGGCAGCAGUGGGGAAUAUUGCACAAUGGGCGCAAGCCUGAUGCAGCGACGCCGCGUGAGGGAUGACGGCCUUCGGGUUGUAAACCUCUUUCAGUAGGGAAGAAGCGAAAGUGACGGUACCUGCAGAAGAAGCACCGGCUAACUACGUG
rnacentral:rRNA from 1 species